CACCAUCGUAACCAUUGCCACCACCAUCACGACCACAAACAUCACCACCAUAGCAACCACAACACCAUUACACACCAUCUGAACCAUCCACAGCACCAUCGCCACGACCACUAUCACCACACCAAAUCAACAACGUCACCACCGCAUCAACCACAACACCACCACAGCAACCACAUCACCACCACAAUAACCAUGAAAUCACUACUCCAUCUUACAACACUAUUUGAACAGAUCUUUGUAACAGAUUGCGCAUAUAUGUGAGGAAAAAUACCGUUGCAAACAGAUCUCUGCAACCUCCAUCACAAACGACAUUUAAAGAGUAGAGGGAGAAAGAGAACACCUCAUCGAAGUGGUGGAAGGUAAUCUCUGUAACAAAUCUCGCAUAUAUAUGAGAAAAAAGUCACCAUUGCAACAGAUCCUUGCAAACUCCGUUACCAGCAGCUUCUAUAAAGUGAGGGAAGAGGAAAACCGCCUCGCUGAUUGUGGUGACAGGUAAAGAGAAUGAAGAGUAAUCAGCAGUGGUGGAAGGUAAAGAGAAGGAAAAGUGAUGAAAUAUAGAGAGCAAAAGAAAGAAAUAGAGGAAGUUUGCUGUAUAGAGUGAUAAAGAAGAGAUAAAGAAAUAAAUAAAGUUUG
rnacentral:lncRNA from 1 species